rnacentral:tRNA from 1 species
GGGGUUGUGGCUCAAUGGUAGAGCACUCACCUAGCAUGUGCGAGACCCUGGGUUUGAUCCCCAGCACCA